GAGGGCGACCGGCCACACUGGGACUGAGACACGGCCCAGACUCCUACGGGAGGCAGCAGUGGGGAAUAUUGCGCAAUGGGCGGAAGCCUGACGCAGCGACGCCGCGUGGGGGAUGACGGCCUUCGGGUUGUAAACCUCUUUCGCCAGGGACGAAGAGUGAUUGACGGUACCUGGAGAAGAAGCACCGGCCAACUACGUGCCAGCAGCCGCGGUAACACGUAGGGUGCGAGCGUUGUCCGGAAUUAUUGGGCGUAAAGAGCUCGUAGGCGGUGUGUCGCGUCGGCCGUGAAAACUUGGGGCUUAACUCUGAGCGUGCGGUCGAUACGGGCAUCACUUGAGUUCGGCAGGGGAGACUGGAAUUCCUGGUGUAGCGGUGAAAUGCGCAGAUAUCAGGAGGAACACCGGUGGCGAAGGCGGGUCUCUGGGCCGAUACUGACGCUGAGGAGCGAAAGCGUGGGGAGCGAACAGGAUUAGAUACCCUGGUAGUCCACGCCGUAAACGUUGGGCGCUAGGUGUGGGGACCAUUCCACG
rnacentral:rRNA from 1 species